AUUGAACGCUGGCGGCAUGCUUUACACAUGCAAGUCGAACGGCAGCGGGGGCUUCGGCCUGCCGGCGAGUGGCGAACGGGUGAGUAAUGCAUCGGAACGUGCCCAUGUCGUGGGGGAUAACGUAUCGAAAGGUACGCUAAUACCGCAUACGUCCUGAGGGAGAAAGCGGGGGAUUCUUCGGAACCUCGCGCGAUUGGAGCGGCCGAUGUCGGAUUAGCUAGUAGGUGAGGUAAAGGCUCACCUAGGCGACGAUCCGUAGCGGGUCUGAGAGGAUGAUCCGCCACACUGGGACUGAGACACGGCCCAGACUCCUACGGGAGGCAGCAGUGGGGAAUUUUGGACAAUGGGCGCAAGCCUGAUCCAGCCAUGCCGCGUGAGUGAAGAAGGCCUUCGGGUUGUAAAGCUCUUUCGGCCGGGAAGAAAUCGUGUUCUCUAACAUAGGACAUGGAUGACGGUACCGGACUAAGAAGCACCGGCUAACUACGUGCCAGCCGCCGCCGUAAGAC
rnacentral:rRNA from 1 species